rnacentral:lncRNA from 10 species
GAGUGGUGAACGGCCUCACGCUCACUUGACUUCACUCAUGCAGAAGGGCUGCGGGAGCAAGAUGGAAGUCCUGACUGACGAUCCACACUCUGGGUCUUCAGGGAAGUGUCAGCCUCAGAGCUGCGGUCAGUGCGUGGAGCCGGCUACCUGUUGGGGAAGAAGAACUUAAGGGGCUUUUCAAGGUACACGCUGAAGACAGCAGAGUGACAAGCUAGAUGGAACCUGGAUC